rnacentral:miRNA from 1 species
UGUUGUCAACUCUGCCUU